AUGCACGCUGGCGGCGUGCCUAAUCCAUGCCAGUCGAGCGAACGGACGAGAAGCUUGCUUCUCUGAUGUUAGCGGCGGACGGGUGAGUAACACGUGGAUAACCUACCUAUAAGACUGGGAUAACUUCGGGAAACCGUAGCUAAUACCGGAUAAUAUUUUGAACCGCAUGGUUCAAAAGUGAAAGACGGUCUUGCUGUCACUUAUAGAUGGAUCCGCGCUGCAUUAGCUAGUUGGUAAGGUAACGGCUUACCAAGGCAACGAUGCAUAGCCGACCUGAGAGGGUGAUCGGCCACACUGGAACUGAGACACGGUCCAGACUCCUACGGGAGGCAGCAGUAGGGAAUCUUCCGCAAUGGGCGAAAGCCUGACGGAGCAACGCCGCGUGAGUGAUGAAGGUCUUCGGAUCGUAAAACUCUGUUAUUAGGGAAGAACAUAUGUGUAAGUAACUGUGCACAUCUUGACGGUACCUAAUCAGAAAGCCACGGCUAACUACGUG
rnacentral:rRNA from 1 species